CUGGUCAGCCAUUACGUGGCACAGUGCCGACAAACUAAACAGCUACUGUAAAGCCGGAAACAUAUUUAAAUCGAGAUACCGACAUUGUGUUGAUUCAGUGAUUAUUUACUGCAACAACAAGGGUCAAUUUAUUUUCCACGCCACUCUGCCAAGUUUAAUAACCCUCUGAUUUCGAGGCUUAUAUAUAUACAAUUUGGUAUAGAGCUAAAUUUUAUUAUUUCUCACAAUUCAAUUUAUAUUGUAUUUAUCCAAUUUUAUGCGGAAAAGAAUCUGAAAGUAACUCACUCGACAAUGCUCAGCGAUGCUCGGGUAAGUUAUGUUACGGCGUACGUUUGUUCCCCCUAUACAAAUAAAUUUGCUAUAGGAUAAUACCGUAACCACCCAUUUUGCAUUUCUCUCGGACCUCCGUCGCCUCUACUUGUUCCUACAGUUGUUCACACUCCAGUUAGGAUAGAGCUCAAUGCGUUUGACAGGUACAUGUUAGAGUGAGAAAUAGCUGGAUGCAGGUUAUUAAGACAGAAGAAAAAAAUUUCACCAGAUGCUGCAAGAAAUAAUCCACAAGAGACAGUAAUGUUGCCUUGUAAUACGUGUCUGCACGCAUUAAAACCAUAAUAGUAGUUUUAUCAGUGCGACAUAUUUUUUACCUAUUACAACAAGAAGAAGAGCAUAUAAAAUCAUCAAUGAAACACCUUUGAUUGAUCUAAGCAGCUACAGUCAUUCCAAUAAGAGGAAUCGAAGGGAUGAAUUGCUUGUUUCGUGAAGCAAAUAAUUUGCUGACGAAGCAACAGUAUUUUGGUGCUCUCCAAAAAUAAGAGCUACAGCUGUGAAAUUCUAAUAUUUUAUCUGAGUGGAGGAUAUCUAGUAGUAAUUAUUAAAAUACCACAAGAAGAAUCGUGCAAGUGUUACAGGAAAUACGAUAAAGUUUGACAGGUAUAUUGAAAUUUGGUCAGUUAAAAUAUACUGCGACCUGACAAAGUAUACAAUGGAAGGAAUUAAGUGAUCUGUAUAUAACAUAAUUGAAACAUAAGUUGAUUCGGUGCAUAUAACAAAUUUGCUGGUAUUUAUAUUAAUUCAUGUGUUGAAUGAAUAAAUGUUUAUAAUUAAUAAAUUAAUAUCAUAUGAAAUAUAUAUAUAUAUAUAU